rnacentral:lncRNA from 1 species
AAAAGCCCACUAAGCAUCUAAUUAUUUAUUAGUUCGUGUGUUUUAGGGAUUCCUGUUUUUUAUUACAGAAUCAGAACGGCUGUCUCCAUUGAAAUAAAUUUAGAUCUCGGACCUUCUCCAUGGAUAAGACAGCGAGCGUAGCUAUGGAUAAGGAGGUAGUGCCUUUGCCCGUGGUAAACAAGGAUGAAAAGUCCCGCCUUGACCCCACUGCAGUCAGAGAAGCCAUUGCUGUGAUUCUUGCUCAGUCAAAGUUGCGUUCCAAGAAUGAAGCUACGAAGGUGUUGGUCGAGCACGAUUCGCCAGCCGGUGAUGGUAGCAAGCCAAGUAUCUAAUCAUGGACCUAUUAGAUUGAAUAUCAAAACCCAUGUUUCGUUUUUUUUUUCUUAUUUCUUAAAAAUAAUGUAACUCUCCAAUUUCCGGUUUGAACCAUUUGAUUUCUUCAUACAGAAAAUUAAAUUGUUGGUUUUUAUUCAAAUGUAACAUAGAGAGUAGAGAGGAGGUUAUUGCAGCCAUAUCAUGCAAGACCUUUACACCGACAACGUAACCACAAAAGACACAUAGGUUACAUCCAUAAUAUUGACGUGAGGAAAGAACGUGGUAAGAAGAAGAGCAGGAGUGUUUUAUGGCAAUACGACGUCGUAUAAGAGUAUGAGCCCAUAAUCUUUAACCGACUAGUGCGGCCAAUUCGUUUCGGUUAAACUAAAUUAGAACCGUACUGGUAAAACCGAUUUUAAAGCCAAACCAUAACCAAAAUGAAAACUGAGGAAAGUAUGACUGAACCACCUCUCAUUUACCGAACACAGAAAAGAUUCAUCAAUUUGGUUUUUAAAUCUAUUAGACCGGAAAAUAAACCAAAACUGAAAUUAAGCAAUAACCGAUCUGGUUAAACUCCCAAUUAAACCGAAAUUGGUAAUAUAGCUGACCACUAAUGGAAAAUAAACCAAAAAACUGAAAUCAAGCAAUAACCGAACCGGUUAAACACCCAAUUAAACCGAAAUUGGUAAUAUUGCUGACCCACUAAUGGGAAAUAAACCAAAACAAUUGAAAUCAAGCAAUAACCGAACCGGUUAAACUCCCAAUUAAACCGAAAUUGGUAAUACUGCUGACCCACUAAUGGGAAAUAAACCAAAAAAAUUGAAAUCAAGCAAUAACCAAACCGGUUAAACAUCCAAUUAAACCGAAAUUGGUAAUAUAGCUGACCACUAACAAACCCGUAGAUUCCCAUUUCGUCACUUUCACAUCAGAUCGGAGCCACACACCACAGCGAUCGAUGCCGUCGACGCAGUCCUUAACCGUCGCAGCGAGGUCCCUACGAAGCCGGAUCCUCUCCAGAUCCGGAUCCACAUCCGCCGGCGCGAGCCGAUGGGCGACGCCGGGCCACGAGGAGCGUCCCAAGGGCUUCUUCAUGAACCGCACUCCUCCGCCGCCGGGGCAGUCGCGGAAAUGGGAGGACUGGGAGCUUCCCUGCUACGUCACGAGCUUCCUCACGAUCGUCAUCCUCGGCGUGGGGCUCAACGCGAAGCCUGAUCUCUCGAUCGAGACUUGGGCUCAUCAGAAGGCCCUGGAGCGGCUCGAGGCGGAGAGGCUCGCCGGAGAUUCUUCCGAUUGAGAGGAUCAGAUGUUUGAUGCUUUGGAACUUUGAAGCAGUGUCUUUUGGUUUUGUUGAUAAUGGUGGAAUAAAGUGUUCUUUGACGAACUUAUGAUUACAAGUUUAAAACUUGGUCACUUUUGAUUUGCUAGUUGUUGAUCAACAUCUGAAAUUCGAUUGCUUUUUUCAAACGAAUAUUGUUUGUUUCAGUAUUGGCCUUUGUUAUCAAUCCAUUUUUCUACUAGUCAUUUGUUGUUAAUAGGUGAAGAAAUGGUCCUUUUUGAGUAAAAUUGUCAUUUGUUGUUGUAGUCAGAGACUGGUAGUAUAGCUAUUACUAGGUGGUGAAGGAAUCGCUCUCUGUUGAGUAGACAUGAGAUACUUCAAUAAGGCUCAGUAGUAUAGAUUUUUUUUUUUUUUAUGGUAUAUGAUUGUAGUUUUGUGCACCUUUCGCAUUGAGUUUUGGUAUGUUUUAAAGAGGUCAUUGCAUCAACAGUCAUUGAUAGAUAUGCUCACAAGAUUUCAGUUUUUUUUUCUUUCAGUUUUGGUAUUUGGUAGGCUUUUAUUUACUCAUUGCAUCAGUGUUGGAUGCUUGAAUAGUUUGAUAAUGGUUGGAGUAGAGGUCUCAUGAAAUCAUUAGCCUUUGUUAGAAUCAGAACACAAGAUUUCAGUAUCUUCGGUUGUAGUACUCACUGGGAUUUUACUGCUCACUGCAUCAGUGUUGGAUGCUUGACAAUAUGAUAAUGGUUGGAGUAGAGUUAGCCUUUGUUAGAUUCAGAACACUAGAUUUCAGUAUCUUCAGUUGUGGUAUUUACUAGGAUUUAACUGCUCAUUGCAUUAGUGCUGGAUGUUUUGAACAACUCAGUAAUGGGUAAUAGUAUCGUAUUAGGAUGUGUGGAUAUUGAAUUGUGAACUAGGUGAAGGAAUGGCUCUCUGUUUAGUAGACGUGGCAUACUUGAAGAAGGCUCAUUAGCAUAAACUAGUGUUCAUGGCAUCAAUACACAGGGUUUCGGUUUUGGUAUUUUCUAGGCUUUUAACUGCUCAUUGCAUUCUGUGUUGGAUGUUUGAAUAGUUUGAUAAUGGUUGGAGUACAGUUCCUCGUGGCUUCAGCCUUUGUUAAACUCAGAACACUAGUUUUUCUGUAUCUUGUUUUUUUUUUCUGGUCAUUGCAUCAGUGUUGGGAUGCUUGAAUGAUUUGAUAAUGGUUGGAGUAGAGUUCUCAUGACAUCAUCAGCCUUUGUAAGAUUCAGAACGCUAGGUUUCACUACUUUAGUUGUGGUAUUUACUAGGCUUUUCCUGCUCGUUGCUUCAGUGCUUGAUGAUUGCACAGUUGUUGGAGUAGAGUUCUCAUGACAUCAGCCUUUGUUAAAUUCAGAACACUAGUUUUCCCUUUUCAGUAUCUUCAGUUGUGGUAUUUGCUAAGAUUUUACUGCUCAUUGCAUCAGUGCUGGAUGUUUGAACAAUUCAGUGAUGGCUAAUAGUGUCUUAUUAGGAUGUGUGGAUAAUGAACUGUGAGCAUUUUAGCAGAUACUGAAUUGAGAAUAGCAUGAGAACAUUACUUUUUGAGCUUUCGAAAUAGUUGUUUGCAUGCUUGUGGGAACUGAUAAAUUGGGUAUCAAUCAAAGAGCUUGAUCACUUACUUGAAUAAGUGGCAAGUUGGAGUUGAGGUGAACUUCACUCGAUGUUGGGCUGAUAAGGUUUAGAAAUCAUGGUAGCUUACAAGUAAUGCCAUUUCAAGUAGUAUUACUCAUAGGUUCUCUGUCUCUGGUCCAUGAGCUUUCUAUUGAAUAAUGCCAUUUCAAGUAGUAUCACUCGUGUUUCCCAAAUCUUGUGAUUAGUUUCCUUUAAGUGUGGUCUGACAGCAUCCUCUUUAAAUAUAGAGUAGUUCAAUGCCGUGUCUGUUUUUAGCGAGUUUCGUCUCAUCCUCUGGUUUCAUAAAUUAUGAAUUAAACAAAAUGAAAGAGAUUAGGAUUAAACAAACUCAGUUACCUUAUUGCAAGCAUUGUUGUCUUGUUAUUUGCCGUUUGUUUGCCGUGUCUUCAAGUUGCAUCACAUCGGGAGGGCUCCCGAGAGUAUGAACACUGACACUCGAUUUAGGCUUUGGUAUAAUCAAUGAAACAAGACAAGAUCACAUGUUUGUUUUACUGGAGACCCAGAGAAGAGGUCCAGUGUAAAGCCAUGUGAAGAACCUUUGUCCUCUUAUCCAUUUUCUUCUGUACGUCUGACACGGUUUCUUUUGUUAAUUCCAAUUCAAGAACACUAUUU